rnacentral:misc_RNA from 1 species
GAUGAAGAACGCAGCGAAUUGCGAUAAGUAAUGUGAAUUGCAGAUUUUCAGUGAAUCAUCGAAUCUUUGAACGCACAUUGCGCCCGCCAGUAUUCUGGCGGGCAUGCCUGUCUGAGCGUCAUUUCAACCCUCAUGCCCCUAGGGCGUGGUGUUGGGGAUCGGCCAAAGCCCGCGAGGGACGGCCGGCCCCUAAAUCUAGUGGCGGACCCGUCGUGGCCUCCUCUGCGAAGUAGUGAUAUUCCGCAUCGGAGAGCGACGAGCCCCUGCCGUUAAACCCCCAACUUUCCAAGGUUGACCUCAGAUCAGGUAGGAAUACCCGCUGAACUUAAGCAUAUCAAUAAGCGGAGGA